rnacentral:rRNA from 1 species
UUUUGAUCCUGGCUCAGGAUGAACGCUAGCGAUAGGCUUAACACAUGCAAGUCGAGGGGCAGCAUGGUCUUAGCUUGCUAAGACUGAUGGCGACCGGCGCACGGGUGCGUAACGCGUAUGCAACUUGCCUCACAGAGGGGGAUAACCCGUCGAAAGACGGACUAAUACCGCGUACACUCCACUUUGGGCAUCCAAAGUAGAGGAAAUGAAAUUCGCUGUGAGAUAGGCAUGCGUCCCAUUAGCUAGUUGGUGAGGUAACGGCUCACCAAGGCGACGAUGGGUAGGGGAACUGAGAGGUUGAACCCCCACACUGGUACUGAGACACGGACCAGACUCCUACGGGAGGCAGCAGUGAGGAAUAUUGGUCAAUGGGCGAGAGCCUGAACCAGCCAAGUCGCGUGAAGGAUGACUGUCUUAUGGAUUGUAAACUUCUUUUAUACGGGAAUAACAAGAGCCACGUGUGGCUCCCUGCAUGUACCGUAUGAAUAAGCAUCGGCUAACUCCGUGCCAGCAGCCGCGGUAAUACGGAGGAUGCGAGCGUUAUCCGGAUUUAUUGGGUUUAAAGGGUGCGUAGGCGGCCUGUUAAGUCAGCGGUGAAAUCUAGGAGCUUAACUCCUAAAUUGCCAUUGAUACUGGCGGGCUUGAGUGUAGAUGAGGUAGGCGGAAUGC